CCGUAGGUGAACCUGCGGAAGGAUCAUUACUG
rnacentral:rRNA from 1 species